rnacentral:rRNA from 1 species
UUAAGCGACUAAGCGUACACGGUGGAUGCCCUGGCAGUCAGAGGCGAUGAAGGACGUGCUAAUCUGCGAUAAGCGUCGGUAAGGUGAUAUGAACCGUUAUAACCGGCGAUUUCCGAAUGGGGAAACCCAGUGUGUUUCGACACACUAUCAUUAACUGAAUCCAUAGGUUAAUGAGGCGAACCGGGGGAACUGAAACAUCUAAGUACCCCGAGGAAAAGAAAUCAACCGAGAUUCCCCCAGUAGCGGCGAGCGAACGGGGAGCAGCCCAGAGCCUGAAUCAGUAUGUGUGUUAGUGGAAGCGUCUGGAAAGGCGCGCGAUACAGGGUGACAGCCCCGUACACAAAAAUGCACAUAUUGUGAGCUCGAUGAGUAGGGCGGGACACGUGGUAUCCUGUCUGAAUAUGGGGGGACCAUCCUCCAAGGCUAAAUACUCCUGACUGACCGAUAGUGAACCAGUACCGUGAGGGAAAGGCGAAAAGAACCCCGGCGAGGGGAGUGAAAAAGAACCUGAAACCGUGUACGUACAAGCAGUGGGAGCACGCUUAGGCGUGUGACUGCGUACCUUUUGUAUAAUGGGUCAGCGACUUAUAUUCUGUAGCAAGGUUAACCGAAUAGGGGAGCCGAAGGGAAACCGAGUCUUAACUGGGCGUUAAGUUGCAGGGUAUAGACCCGAAACCCGGUGAUCUAGCCAUGGGCAGGUUGAAGGUUGGGUAACACUAACUGGAGGACCGAACCGACUAAUGUUGAAAAAUUAGCGGAUGACUUGUGGCUGGGGGUGAAAGGCCAAUCAAACCGGGAGAUAGCUGGUUCUCCCCGAAAGCUAUUUAGGUAGCGCCUCGUGAAUUCAUCUCCGGGGGUAGAGCACUGUUUCGGCAAGGGGGUCAUCCCGACUUACCAACCCGAUGCAAACUGCGAAUACCGGAGAAUGUUAUCACGGGAGACACACGGCGGGUGCUAACGUCCGUCGUGAAGAGGGAAACAACCCAGACCGCCAGCUAAGGUCCCAAAGUCAUGGUUAAGUGGGAAACGAUGUGGGAAGGCCCAGACAGCCAGGAUGUUGGCUUAGAAGCAGCCAUCAUUUAAAGAAAGCGUAAUAGCUCACUGGUCGAGUCGGCCUGCGCGGAAGAUGUAACGGGGCUAAACCAUGCACCGAAGCUGCGGCAGCGACACUAUGUGUUGUUGGGUAGGGGAGCGUUCUGUAAGCCUGUGAAGGUGUGCUGUGAGGCAUGCUGGAGGUAUCAGAAGUGCGAAUGCUGACAUAAGUAACGAUAAAGCGGGUGAAAAGCCCGCUCGCCGGAAGACCAAGGGUUCCUGUCCAACGUUAAUCGGGGCAGGGUGAGUCGACCCCUAAGGCGAGGCCGAAAGGCGUAGUCGAUGGGAAACAGGUUAAUAUUCCUGUACUUGGUGUUACUGCGAAGGGGGGACGGAGAAGGCUAUGUUGGCCGGGCGACGGUUGUCCCGGUUUAAGCGUGUAGGCUGGUUUUCCAGGCAAAUCCGGAAAAUCAAGGCUGAGGCGUGAUGACGAGGCACUACGGUGCUGAAGCAACAAAUGCCCUGCUUCCAGGAAAAGCCUCUAAGCAUCAGGUAACAUCAAAUCGUACCCCAAACCGACACAGGUGGUCAGGUAGAGAAUACCAAGGCGCUUGAGAGAACUCGGGUGAAGGAACUAGGCAAAAUGGUGCCGUAACUUCGGGAGAAGGCACGCUGAUAUGUAGGUGAAGUCCCUCGCGGAUGGAGCUGAAAUCAGUCGAAGAUACCAGCUGGCUGCAACUGUUUAUUAAAAACACAGCACUGUGCAAACACGAAAGUGGACGUAUACGGUGUGACGCCUGCCCGGUGCCGGAAGGUUAAUUGAUGGGGUUAGCCGCAAGGCGAAGCUCUUGAUCGAAGCCCCGGUAAACGGCGGCCGUAACUAUAACGGUCCUAAGGUAGCGAAAUUCCUUGUCGGGUAAGUUCCGACCUGCACGAAUGGCGUAAUGAUGGCCAGGCUGUCUCCACCCGAGACUCAGUGAAAUUGAACUCGCUGUGAAGAUGCAGUGUACCCGCGGCAAGACGGAAAGACCCCGUGAACCUUUACUAUAGCUUGACACUGAACAUUGAGCCUUGAUGUGUAGGAUAGGUGGGAGGCUUAGAAGUGUGGACGCCAGUCUGCAUGGAGCCGACCUUGAAAUACCACCCUUUAAUGUUUGAUGUUCUAACGUUGACCCGUAAUCCGGGUUGCGGACAGUGUCUGGUGGGUAGUUUGACUGGGGCGGUCUCCUCCUAAAGAGUAACGGAGGAGCACGAAGGUUGGCUAAUCCUGGUCGGACAUCAGGAGGUUAGUGCAAUGGCAUAAGCCAGCUUGACUGCGAGCGUGACGGCGCGAGCAGGUGCGAAAGCAGGUCAUAGUGAUCCGGUGGUUCUGAAUGGAAGGGCCAUCGCUCAACGGAUAAAAGGUACUCCGGGGAUAACAGGCUGAUACCGCCCAAGAGUUCAUAUCGACGGCGGUGUUUGGCACCUCGAUGUCGGCUCAUCACAUCCUGGGGCUGAAGUAGGUCCCAAGGGUAUGGCUGUUCGCCAUUUAAAGUGGUACGCGAGCUGGGUUUAGAACGUCGUGAGACAGUUCGGUCCCUAUCUGCCGUGGGCGCUGGAGAACUGAGGGGGGCUGCUCCUAGUACGAGAGGACCGGAGUGGACGCAUCACUGGUGUUCGGGUUGUCAUGCCAAUGGCACUGCCCGGUAGCUAAAUGCGGAAGAGAUAAGUGCUGAAAGCAUCUAAGCACGAAACUUGCCCCGAGAUGAGUUCUCCCUGACUCCUUGAGAGUCCUGAAGGAACGUUGAAGACGACGACGUUGAUAGGCCGGGUGUGUAAGCGCAGCGAUGCGUUGAGCUAACCGGUACUAAUGAACCGUGAGGCUUAACCUU